rnacentral:lncRNA from 1 species
UUCAUUUUUAUUUAUGUUUUCUAAUUUUAUUGCUUUCUAGUUAGUUUUAAUUAUGCUUCUAGUUUGUUUUUAAUAAUUACAUGUGCUUGACGAGUCGUAUGUGUAGUUUGUCCAUUUCCCCCAUUUCUUGAGCCAUAACAAUUUUUUUUGAAUAAGAAAACAGUUGUUAUUUCAAAAUUUUGGGUUGUUAGACAAGUUUAGGAUAUGUUGCAAAGACUUGGGAAAACUUUU